CAGUCAGGACACAGCAUGGACAUGAGGGCCCCGACUCAGCUCCUGGGCCUCCUGCUGCUCUACCUUCCAGGUGUGCUAUGUGACAUCCAGAUGACCCAGUCUGCAUCCUUGCUGUAUGGCUCUGUGGGAGACACAGUCACCAUCGCUUGCAAAGCCAGUGAGGACAUUUACAGCAGUUUAAAUUGGUAUCAGCAGAAACCUGGAAAAGCUCCAACGCUGUUGAUCUAUGCUGCAAGUUAUUUGAAAUCCGGGGUCCCACAGAGGUUCAGUGGCAGUGAAUCUGGGACAGAUUACACUCUCACCAUCAGCAGCCUGGAGCCUGAAGAUGUUGGAACUUAUUACUGUCAACAGAGUUAUGAAACCCCUCCCACAGUAAUACAAGCCAUAGCAUAAACC